ACUUGUGUUGAUGGACUUAUCA
rnacentral:siRNA from 1 species